rnacentral:rRNA from 1 species
AGUGAACGCUGGCGGUAGGCCUAACACAUGCAAGUCGAACGGCAGCACAGUAAGAGCUUGCUCUUACGGGUGGCGAGUGGCGGACGGGUGAGGAAUACAUCGGAAUCUACUUUUUCGUGGGGGAUAACGUAGGGAAACUUACGCUAAUACCGCAUACGACCUACGGGUGAAAGCAGGGGAUCUUCGGACCUUGCGCGAUUGAAUGAGCCGAUGUCGGAUUAGCUAGUUGGCGGGGUAAAGGCCCACCAAGGCGACGAUCCGUAGCUGGUCUGAGAGGAUGAUCAGCCACACUGGAACUGAGACACGGUCCAGACUCCUACGGGAGGCAGCAGUGGGGAAUAUUGGACAAUGGGCGCAAGCCUGAUCCAGCCAUACCGCGUGGGUGAAGAAGGCCUUCGGGUUGUAAAGCCCUUUUGUUGGGAGAGAAAAGCAGCAGGUUAAUACCCCGCUGUUCUGACGGUACCCAAAGAAUAAGCACCGGCUAACGUCGUG